rnacentral:rRNA from 1 species
GCAUGGCUGUCGUCAGCUCGUGUCGGUGAGAUGUUGGGUUAAGUCCCGCAACGAGCGCAACCCUUGCCUUUAGUUUGCCAGCAGUUCGGCUGGGCACUCUAAAGGGACUGCCGGUGUUAAACCGGAGGAAGGUGGGGAUGACGUCAAGUCCUCAUGGCCUUUAUGACCAGGGCUACACACGUACUACAAUGGCCGAUACAAAGGGCAGCGACACUGCGAGGUGAAGCCAAUCCCGUAAAAUCGGUCUCAGUCCGGAUUGGAGUCUGCAACUCGACUCCAUGAAGUUGGAAUCGCUAGUAAUCGUGGAUCAGCAUGCCACGGUGAAUACGUUCCCGGGCCUU